rnacentral:lncRNA from 1 species
UGUCCAAUCACACUUUUUGAAUUUAUAUUUUUGUUCAAAAUUUCCUGAGAUUGGUGACCCAACCCAUGCAUCUCUAGCGACACUUAUCUCAUAUCCAUCUGUAAAUAAAAUGAAUGUAUCAAAAGGGCGAUACACGAAAACUCAAUAAAUUUGUCCAGCUUUUGAAUUAAUUAUCCAACACAUGUUUGUAACAAUUAAUUGAACAUGGUUUUUCAUGAACUUGCUCAAACAAAAAAGAAUAAUACUAACAAAUCAUAUCUUCAACCAUAUAAAGAAAGACAUUAUAGAAUGACAAAUAUUAAGGUCACCACGCUAGGACUACGAGAAUGAAGAAUCCUCAACUUCCUAAGAGUGACGAGUGAUAUAACUCUUCUAUUAGAAAUUUACAGCCACCAAAUACUUUCACUCUAAAAAAUUCACGUUGAACCCUUUUAGUGUUUCAAUUGAUGUUGUUCUUUGAAGCCUAAUCUGCUCUCUGAACUUGGCUAUAAACUCACCAGCCUUCCUAUCAACCUCAUAAGUAUCACUUCCUGCUACACUCGUAGCUCCGGACAUGGUUGCUUCAUCUGACCUUUCUCCAAAAUCUUCAUCCUCUCUCUCCGACUCGGAAUUCUCCGCAAACUCUUGGUUCCGGUUUCUGGAAUAUGUUGGGUUUGGCAUGUAAGCAUUACCUCCAAGAUUCUGCCUGUUGAACACAACCGAGGGAUUACAAUCUCCUAAUUUUGGGUCACUUCCACCUUUGUAACCCUCAACCUCUUCAAUUUCAUCACAUCCCUUU